rnacentral:rRNA from 1 species
UGGAGGAAAGCAGGGGAUCGUAAGGCCUUGCGCUUUUGGAGCGGCCGAUGUCUGAUUAGCUAGUUGGUGGGGUAAUGGCCUACCAAAGCUUCGAUCAGUAGCUGGUCUGAGAGGACGGCCAGCCACACUGGGACUGAGACACGGCCCAGACUCCUACGGGAGGCAGCAGUGGGGAAUUUUGGACAAUGGGCGCAAGCCUGAUCCAGCCAUGCCGCGUGAGUGAAGAAGGCCUUCGGGUUGUAAAGCUCUUUCAGCCGGGAAGAAAAGGCUGCGAUUAAUAAUCGCAGUUCAUGACGGUACCGGAAGAAGAAGCACCGGCUAACUACGUGCCAGCAGCCGCGGUAAUACGUAGGGUGCAAGCGUUAAUCGGAAUUACUGGGCGUAAAGGGUGCGCAGGCGGCUUUGUAAGUCAGAUGUGA